rnacentral:ribozyme from 1 species
AAAAAAAAAAGGGGGGGGGGGGUCAAUCAAAAGGACACCACAUUUAAAUAUUAGCCCUAUGCAUUUUUUUUCUUAUUUUUCCUUCUCCUUCUCCUUGUGCUCUUCACUUUUGGCAAAGU